rnacentral:rRNA from 1 species
AUUGAACGCUGGCGGCAGGCCUAACACAUGCAAGUCGAGCGGAGCGGCGGACGGGUGAGUAAUGCCUAGGAAUCUGCCUGGUAGUGGGGGAUAACGUCCGGAAACGGGCGCUAAUACCGCAUACUAUCAGAUGAGCCUAGGUCGGAUUAGCUAGUUGGUGGGGUAAAGGCCUACCAAGGCGACGAUGCAUAACUGGUCUGAGAGGAUGAUCAGUCACACUGUGACUGAGACACGGUCCAGACUCCUACGUGAGGCAGCAGUAGGGAAUAUUCGGAAAUGGACGAAAGCCUGAUCGAGCAAUGCCGCGUGAGUGAAGAAGUUUUUCGGAUUGGAAAACUCUUUUAUUAGAGAAGCGGUACCGAACGAUAAAGCCACGGCUAACUACGUGCCAGCAGCCGCGGUAAUUC